CGCCUUGCCAGCCCGCUCAGAAACUUAAAUGAAUUGACGGGGGCCCGCACAAGCGGUGGAGCAUGUGGUUCAAUUCGACGCAACGCGAAGAACCUUACCUGGGCUUGACAUCCGCUGACAGUCCCGAAAACGGGAUCUUCCCCGCAAGGGGACAGCGAGACAGGUGCUGCAUGGCUGUCGUCAGCUCGUGUCGUGAGAUGUUGGGUUAAGUCCCGCAACGAGCGCAACCCUCAUCCUUAGUUGCCAUCAUUGAGUUGGGAACUCUAAGGAAACUGCCUCGGUUAACGGGGAGGAAGGUGGGGAUGACGUCAAGUCCUCAUGGCCUUUAUGCCCAGGGCUACACACGUGCUACAAUGGGCGGAACAAAGGGUUGCAAUACCGCAAGGUGGAGCUAAUCUCAAAAAACCGCUCUCAGUUCAGAUUGGAGUCUGCAACUCGACUCCAUGAAGGCGGAAUCGCUAGUAAUCGCGGAUCAGCAUGCCGCGGUGAGUACGUUCCCGGGCCUU
rnacentral:rRNA from 1 species